rnacentral:misc_RNA from 1 species
AAGUCGUAACAAGGUAACCGUAGGUGAACCUGCGGUUGGAUCAUUAAAAAUAACAAUUUGCCACCCAUUGUAGGGAGUUUGGCCCCACAUCUUGUGCACUGUACCGUCUUUGGUGGUGGGGUGGGCAUCGCAGUAUGCUUUGUCUCAUCUGUCAGCUUGGAUCGCAAGGUCCAAGCCGUGGACAAGCCACCGCAUGUAUUCAAACAUUUUCUUUUUCUUUUGUCUGACAUUUCAACUUGUAUUAAUAUACAAACAACUUUUGGCAACGGAUCUCUUGGUUCUC